rnacentral:rRNA from 1 species
GUCUACGGCCAUGCUACCCUGAACAAGCCCAAUCCUGUCUGAUCUCGGAAGCUAAGCGGAGUCGGGCCUGGUUAGUACUUGGAUGGGAGACCGCCUAGGAAGACCAGAUGUUGUAGGCA